rnacentral:rRNA from 1 species
UACGUAGGGUGCGAGCGUUGUCCGGAAUUAUUGGGCGUAAAGAGCUCGUAGGCGGUGUGUCGCGUCGGCCGUGAAAACCUGCAGCUUAACUGUGGGCUUGCGGUCGAUACGGGCAUCACUGGAGUUCGGCAGGGGAGACUGGAAUUCCUGGUGUAGCGGUGGAAUGCGCAGAUAUCAGGAGGAACACCAAUGGCGAAGGCAGAUCUCUGGGCCGUACCUGACACUGAGGCGCGAUAGCAUGGGGAGCAAACAGG